AUUGAACGCUGGCGGCAGGCCUAACACAUGCAAGUCGAACGAGUGGCGGACGGGUGAGUAAUGUCUGGGAAACUGCCCGAUGGAGGGGGAUAACUACUGGAAACGGUAGCGAAUACCGCGUACCAUCGGAUGUGCCCAGAUGGGAGUAGCUUGUAGGUGAGGUAACGGCUCACCUAGGCGACGAUCCCUAGCUGGUCUGAGAGUAUGACCAGCAGCCUGGGGACUGAGACAGGGUCCAGACUCGUACGGGAGGCACCAGGUGGGACUGUUGCACAAGUGGCGCAAGCCUGAUGCAGCCAUGCCGCGUGUAUGAAGAAGGCCUUCGGCUUGUAAAGUACUUUCAGCGGGGAGGCGUUGCCCGCAGAAGAAGCACCGGCUAACUCCGUGCCAGCAGCCGCGGUAAUAC
rnacentral:rRNA from 1 species